rnacentral:rRNA from 1 species
ACGCCUUAUACAUGCAAGUCGAACGAAGUAGAAAUACUUAGUGGCAGACGGGUGAGUAACAUGUAGGUAUCUUCCCUUUGGUGAGGAAUAACACGAGGAAACUUGUGCUAAUACCUCAUAAGUCUUUACGGAGAAAGCUUUAUGCGCCAUAGGAUGAGCCUGCAUUUGAUUAGUUUGUUGGUGGGGUAAUGGCCUACCAAGACUUUGAUCAAUAGCUGAUCUGAGAGGAUGAUCAGCCACAUUGGGACUGAGACACGGCCCAAACUCCUACGGGAGGCAGCAGUAGGGAAUAUUGCACAAUGGAGGAAACUCUGAUGCAGCGAUGCCGCGUGAGUGAAGAAGGCCUUUGGGUUGUAAAGCUCUUUCGUCGGGGAAGAAAAUGACUGUACCCGAAUAAGAAGGUCCGGCUAACUUCGUGCCAGCAGCCGCGGUAAUACGAAGGGACCUAGCGUAGUUCGGAAUUACUGGGCUUAAAGAGUUCGUAGGUGGUUAAAAAAGUUGGUGGUGAAAUCCCAGAGCUUAACUCUGGAACUGCCAUCAAAACUUUUUAGCUAGAGUAUGAUAGAGGAAAGCAGAAUUUCUAGUGUAGAGGUGAAAUUCGUAGAUAUUAGAAAGAAUACCAAUUGCGAAGGCAGCUUUCUGGAUCAUUACUGACACUGAGGAACGAAAGCAUGGGUAGCGAAGAGGAUUAGAUACCCUCGUAGUCCAUGCCGUAAACGAUGUGUGUUAGACGUUGGAAAUUUAUUUUCAGUGUCGCAGCGAAAGCAUUAAACACACCGCCUGGGGAGUACGACC